AUUGAACGCUGGCGGCAGGCUUAACACAUGCAAGUCGAGCGAGCGGCGGACGGGUGAGUAAUGUCUGGGAAACUGCCUGAUGGAGGGGGAUAACUACUGGAAACGGUAGCUAAUACCGCAUACCAUCAGAUGUGCCCAGAUGGGCUUAGCUAGUAGGUGGGGUAAUGGCUCACCUAGGCGACGGUCCCUAGCUGGUCUGAGAGGAUGACCAGCAACAUGGGAACUGAGACACGGUCCAGACUCCUACGGAGGGAGGCGUAGGGGAAUAUUGCACAAUGGGCGAAAGCCUAAUGCAGACAUGCCGCGGGUGGGAAGAGGGCCUUCGGGUUGUAAAGCACUUUCAGCGAGGAGGCGGUACUCACAGAAGAAGCACCGGCUAACUCCGUGCCAGCAGCCGCGGUAAUAC
rnacentral:rRNA from 1 species